UACAGAGGGUGCAAGCGUUAAUCGGAAUUACUGGGCGUAAAGCGCACGUAGGCGGAUAUUUAAGUCGGGUGUGAAAUCCCCGGGCUCAACCUGGGAACUGCAUCCGAUACUGAAUAUCUAGAGUAUGAUAGAGGAAAGUGGAAUUCCCGGUGUAGCGGUGAAAUGCGUAGAUAUCGGGGAGGAACACCAGUGGCGAAGGCGCUUUUCUGGAUCAAUACUGGACGCUGAGGGUG
rnacentral:rRNA from 1 species